rnacentral:lncRNA from 1 species
AGGGCCACACCCACAGCAUAUGGAGGUUCCCAGGCUCAGGGUCAAAUCAGAGCUACAGCUGCCAGCCUACAUCACAGCCACAGCAACUCAGGAUCAAGCUGCUGCGUUUGCGACCUAUACCACAGCUCAUGGCAACAUCGGAUCCUUAAGCCACAGAGUGAGGUCAGGGAUUGAACUCGCAUCCUCAUGGAUCCUAGUCAGGUUUGUUAACCGCUGAGUCACGAAGGGACCUCCCUGCUCAGGCAUUUUUCUUCUUCAACAAUGCAUAUUAAUAUAGAUACAAAUAUAAUAAUAUAAUGAUGUUGUUUCAACAUCAUUCAAACGGAUCCUCUAACCCUUCCUGAACAUUCUCCAAGCAACGUCGGCAAGGUCUUGCUACAAUCCAGAACUAUUUCAGACCUCAACUUAAAAAAGGUUCUUGGCCUUUCAUUGUGUCCAAGCUCUUCGUUCCAACAUUCAAAGCCCUGAGAGCCCAACCCCAUUUUAUGGCUCCAGCUUGGUUCCCUGUUAUUCUCCCUGCUCCUCCCUCUUACCCUGCUCCCACCACCACUAGAUCACGUUCUUUUACAUGAACUUGCCCGGUACCUUUCACUUCUAAGUCUUUAAGUUGUGCUGCUUCUUGUUGUCAAAGUCAUCUUCACUGCCUCCUCUGCUUUGGGGAGUUCUAUGGAACUCAAGGGUGAAGUUAAAAAUCCACAUUUGCCAAAAGUUUUCCCAGCCAUAGAACUGAUCUACCUCCUAAUUCCUCAUGGCGCCAUAAUAGCGCAUUCACAGUGGUCCCAUGAAAGCAUCAUAUAUGUGGAUUUUUCCUUUCCCAACUAGAGGUAGACUUCUUUAAUAUUUAAGUUAUUCAUCUUCUGACUUUUCCUUCCCAUGACAAUGAGCCCCAAUUUCCAACAGUCCUUUGAAAGAUGCUCAGUGCAUGAGGAUGAGCUGAAUCAAUGACAAAGGUGAGUUUAGCAUAAUCUUUGGAGGGAUCUCCAGCCAGAUUUAUCUCAGCUAUGCCCUGGCAGAAUUCCUUGAGAACAGAUGAGGAAGGGCCAGACUGAAGAGGCAUUUAAGAUAAAAAGGGGAAAAAUUAGGUUGUGCACCUCUUUCUAAGCAGAUUUUCUAAUUUUGCUAUGUCAGAAUAUGUGUUGAAUGUGCACUCCAAGAAUAUUUACUAUCGAGAUCAAACUUCAAAAGUAGUGCGCCUAGGGUGUGCUUCAAAAAGCAUUUAUUCCAACACUUACACUUUCUCUUCCUUCAUUACAAACAUGACAGGUGCCUAGAGGUGAAUUCAGUUCCUCUAACCACACUGAUUAUGGAAUGGUCAUUAGAGGCCGUGAAAAUGAAGGUUUCUGGAGAAAGAUGAAAUUACACUUAUAUUAGGAUGUCAAACAGGACCUUGCAUGAAAAGAGCCAUGGAUCCAAGGGGAAAAAGAAAAGACCAAACCCAAAUGUGAGGCCCCUAACUGUAAUAGAGAAGCUGAUGCUUGGCUUUCUGGAGAGCUGGUCGUGUGUGUGUUGAAUUACAGGCAAUUAUCGGUGGUCUCCCUGUUGGCCCCAAAGAAUUUAGAACCGCGUCAAAGGGAAAUACGAUCCACCAGAAGGGAAAUCCUACUGCAUCUUUUAACUCUGGACCAACUCCUCUAGGUAGAUGAUGCGUUUUAUUUCCAUGAUGCAUUUUAUUCUUGAAGUCUCACAAACAGUUGUUGGUGAAAGUCGAUGUAAAGGUAAAUUUCUCUCCUGGGUCACUUGUUUUGAAAAACCCAGACUGGCCCUGUGAAAUUGUUGUGAUGCUGAUGACUGAAAUAAAACUGUCUCAGUGUCUUCACUGCCAUCCAGCAGUCAAUCCACAGGGAAGAAGUGACACUUUUGCAUAAAUCAACUGUGUGUUGUUCACCACUGUGAUAAGAUUUUGGGGUGCAAGACCAUGAAGCUUGGGCUGAUUCUUCAAGGAAAAUGAUGUCCUGAUCAAUGCAAUGUUAGCAUUAAUUACAUUUCAUUGUAUUAAUACAUGCCUGGAAAGUGAUAUAUUUACAUGCCAGCAUACAAGAGACCUGAAUACUAAAAAAUUAGGGAGACCAAUCCUUCCAUUGGUCUAGACAAGCUGGAGGGCAAUGGACACUCUCCACUAAAUGCAGUGCCACCUGGGCUGAUUAGAGCUGGUUCUGCUCAACUCUGCUUCCAGCCUACAUCGACAGCAGAAACACACUGCUCUUCUGACUUAGACGGAAUGAAGCUUACUGAGUAAAAAAACCUGGAAGCUAGUUAGGAUCAUUUGUCCCACAAAUAAUCUAAAAUAUAGGACAAAUGAUCCUAUCUAUAAAAUAGAAACAGAUCACAGCCAAGGAGAGCAGACUUGUGGUUGGCAAGGGGAGGGGGUAGGAGUAGGAUGGAUGAGGAGUUUGGGGUUGGUGGAUGCAAACUAUUACAUUUGGAAUCAAUGGGCGCUGGCAUCCUACUGUACAGCACAGGGAACUGUGUGUAAUUGGGUCACUUUGCUGUGCAACAGGAAGGAACACUGUAAAUUAGCAAACUUUAAUUUAAAAAAUAAAAUAAAUAAAAAAGAAAGUUCUUAUUUUCCAAAUUGGAUUAAAAAUUUGACACUAACUAAAUGUGAACCAUGGCCAAAUUAGUUUAACAUUCCCAUGUUUCAUUUUCCUCACAUGCAAAAAAUGAGCAUAUGAGCGUGUGCUGCUCCCAUACGUAAGGAGCAGCAUGCUAAAGCUGUGUUAGCCAAACCACAUUCUCAGAUAAAUAUUCUAGAUGAAAUCUCUCAUGAGUGUUCACAGAGUUUCAUUAAGAGAUGAUGUCAAGAAUGAGAUUCUAUGUUAGAAUUGUCUGGGAUAGCCUGAAUAUUGCUUGGUGAUAUUAAGUUGGAAUCUGUUUCAACUCUGGCUUUGGGGCAUAUGAAAAUCAUAUUGCAUGUUCUGGUUUCAAGUCUUUUUUUCUCCCUACAUUUAGGCCAAUAGUAAGGCAUUAUGACUCCAUAAACUUUAAGAAAACAGUUUUAGGCAAAUAUACUCAAUACCAUAGAUUUGGGGAUGCUGAUAACCACUGCUAGAAAUUUAAUCUACUCAUUCAUCUCCUUUUCAUCAUCUUUCCCAUGUUAAUGUUUAAAUAAGCAGAGGCCCCAAACGCUCACAAUUCAGGUAUUUUGUGCAUUCCUACUAUACUUGUCACAGAAAGGCACAGGCUUUGUUUAUGAGAAUGUCUUUAUCUGAUUUAUCUUGGAUUUCUUUCCACUCUCAAUCUCUGGAAUACUUCCUGGUAGAGAGGUAGAAAGUGAUGGUCAAUAAAAUUUGUUAAAGGAAUCAAUAGAUGAUUGAUUCAUCAUCUAUUGACUAGAUGGUGAAAAAAUGGAAGCCGCAUCAUCCUGAAUAGAGUGCACACACACACAUGCACACCCAUGCGCACACACGCACAUGUAUGUACACACAUGCACAGAGUCCUACCCAGGAAGCAAUCUUAGGUUACUGUAUAGUUCAGAAAUGGUGGAAAUACUUCACUUUCUCAGGCCUCACCGCCAUUCCUGGCUACAGCACAUACAACCAGUUGGCUUGGCAACUCUUCUGCUGAAAAUCCUCGUCCUUCCCCAGGUCUGAGGUACUGAGAUGAUGACUACUGAUUCGCGAGUUGUCACUUGGGAGGAAAUCAAUGUCUGACCUAGACACUGCUUCUCACUGGUCAAAAAAAUGGUCAUGUGUUGGGUUAAGUAGAUCCCUCAAUGGAUUGAAACAGAAAAGAACUCAUAACAACUUGGCAUUGGUCAAAGGAAGCCAAGGAAGAUAGAUGGUCAAACUGCAUUAACCAAAAAUGCCAGAUGAGGUUUCAGGGCCCUUGACAGUCAACUGACUCAGGAAAAGCAUUUCUACUGAUUAUCAAAUGGAAUCUAUCAUGUCCAAGUUUCAUCAUCUCAAUUGUGAGCAAAAGCAGAGGAACAUUUAUUAAUGCAAAGCAAAGAGAAUGCUUGCUAACACCCUUGCCAUUUUGUUUCAAAGUAUAGUAAAAAAUUUGGGCACUCUCUCUCCCCCAACUAGUUUCUUUCCUCGGCUUUUAUGUGGGCAGGGUUGUUGUAAUUUCUCUGUUCAAAUAAAGUCUGUAGAAAGCCACAAAAGGAGAUCUGGACCCUACAGCUUAACGGAUUCUGGAAAGCAGCUGGCUUGUAACAUGAGUCAUUCCAGCCAAGGCUUUCUCUUUUGUAUGUUUUUCUCUGACCUAAAGAGUGGGUUAUUGGAUGUCUUCUGGCAGGUGCUAUGGGAUUAAGGAGGUAGUUGGUCAGAAACAAACUUUGAAUUAGGUUUUUUUUUUAAGAGUUUACUAAAGUAAAUAUGAUCGUUAGCUUAAU